GAUGAACGCUGGCGGCGUGCCUAAUACAUGCAAGUCGAGCGAACCACUUCGGUGGUGAGCGGCGAACGGGUGAGUAACACGUAGGUGAUCUGCCCAUCAGACGGGGACAACGAUUGGAAACGAUCGCUAAUACCGGAUAGGACGAAAGUUUAAAGGUGCUUCUGGCACCGCUGAUGGAUGAGCCUGCGGCGCACUAGCUAGUUGGUAGGGUAAAGGCCUACCAAGGCGACGAUGCGUAGCCGACCUGAGAGGGUGAACGGCCACACUGGGACCGAGACACGGCCCAGACUCCUACGGGAGGCAGCAGUAGGGAAUCUUCGGCAAUGGGCGAAAGCCUGACCGAGCAACGCCGCGUGAAUGAUGAAGGCCUUCGGGUUGUAAAAUUCUGUUAUAAGGGAAGAACGACUUUAGUAGGAAAUGGCUAGAGUGUGACGGUACCUUAUGAGAAAGCCACGGCUAACUACGUGCCAGCAGCCGCCGUAA
rnacentral:rRNA from 1 species